rnacentral:rRNA from 1 species
AGAGUUUGAUCAUGGCUCAGGAUGAACGCUAGCGGCCGGCUUAACACAUGCAAGUCGAGGGGUAACAUUGUGCUUGCACRGAUGACGACCGGCGCACGGGUGCGWAWCGCGUAUAGAACCUACCUUUUACAGAGGGAUAGCCUUUARAAAUGAAGAUUAAUACCUUAUAGUAUUGAGUUUUGGCAUCAARACUUAAUUARAGAUUUAUCGGUAAAAGAUGGCUAUGCGKCCUAUUAGUUAGUUGGUAAGGUAACGGCUUACCAAGACAUCKAUAGGUAGGGGUCCUGARAGGGAGAUCCCCCACACUGGUACUGAGACACGGACCAGACUCCUACGGGAGGCAGCAGUGAGGAAUAUUGGACAAUGGAGGAGACUCUGAUCCAKCCAUGCCGCGUGUAKGAAGAAUGCCCUAUGGGUUGUAAACUACUUUUAUACAGGAAGAAACACUGGUAUGUAUACCAGCUUGACGGUACUGUAASAAUAAGGACCGGCUAACUCCGUGCCAGCAGCCGCGGUAAUACGGAGGGUCCGAGCGUUAUCCGGAAUCAUUGGGUUUAAGGGUCCGCAGGCGGUCGAUUAAGUCAGAGGUGAAAUCCCAUAGCUCAACUAUGGAACUGCCUUUGAUACUGGUUGACUUGAGUCAUAUGGAAGUAGAUAGAAUGUGUAGUGUAGCGGUGAAAUGCAUAGAUAUUACACAGAAUACCGAUUGCGAAGGCAGUCUACUACGUAUGUACUGACGCUGAGGGACGAAAGCGUGGGGAGCGAACAGGAUUAGAUACCCUGGUAGUCCACGCCGUAAACGAUGGAUACUAGUUGUUGGGAUUUAUCUCAGUGACUAAGCGAAAGUGAUAAGUAUCCCACCUGGGGAGUACGGUCGCAAGACUGAAACUCAAAGGAAUUGACGGGGGCCCGCACAAGCGGUGGAGCAUGUGGUUUAAUUCGAUGAUACGCGAGGAACCUUACCAGGGCUUAAAUGUAGUCUGACAGCUUUAGAGAUAGAGUUUUCUUCGGACAGAUUACAAGGUGCUGCAUGGUUGUCGUCAGCUCGUGCCGUGAGGUGUCAGGUUAAGUCCUAUAACGAGCGCAACCCCUGUUAUUAGUUGCCAGCAUGUAAAGAUGGGGACUCUAAUAAGACUGCCAGCGCAAGCUGCGAGGAAGGUGGGGAUGACGUCAAAUCAUCACGGCCCUUACGUCCUGGGCCACACACGUGCUACAAUGGUAUGGACAAUGAGCAGCCAUCUGGCAACAGAGAGCGAAUCUAUAAACCAUAUCACAGUUCGGAUCGGAGUCUGCAACUCGACU